CCACCGCCUUUUGCUGCCCCACGACCAGGAAGAAACGCGUCUCAGAUCAAUUACAAGUGUCCAUGGGGGAUUUCCCUUCUUCCACCUGUCUCAAUCUUAUCAUGAGUUGGAAUUUCCAUUUCGUCUGGACGCCAUUUUUCGCCUGGUUUCACCUUCUUUUUAUGAGACUGGCAAGUGAGAAUGGAGCUCUUCGCCAUAACCUCGAGUACGGGCAAUCUCUCUUUCAGUGAGAUGGACUUCUCUUCAUCUAAUGGCGACACAUCAACUAAUGUUGUCAAUAAUACUGACAGAUCUUUGACGGAAUUCAAUACGACGGAA